UUGAAGAGUUUGAUCAUGGCUCAGAUUGAACGCUGGCGGCAGGCCUAACACAUGCAAGUCGAACGGUAACAGGAAACAGCUUGCUGUUUCGCUGACGAGUGGCGGACGGGGGAGUAAUGUCUGGGAAACUGCCUGAUGGAGGGGGAUAACUACUGGAAACGGUAGCUAAUACCGCAUAACGUCGCAAGACCAAAGAGGGGGACCUUCGGGCCUCUUGCCAUCGGAUGUGCCCAGAUGGGAUUAGCUAGUAGGUGGGGUAACGGCUCACCUAGGCGACGAUCCCUAGCUGGUCUGAGAGGAUGACCAGCCACACUGGAACUGAGACACGGUCCAGACUCCUACGGGAGGCAGCAGUGGGGAAUAUUGCACAAUGGGCGCAAGCCUGAUGCAGCCAUGCCGCGUGUAUGAAGAAGGCCUUCGGGUUGUAAAGUACUUUCAGCGGGGAGGAAGGGAGUAAAGUUAAUACCUUUGCUCAUU
rnacentral:rRNA from 1 species